UUUCUCUUCUCUUCCUCUCUAUUCUUCAUAUACACACCCAAAGAUCUAGCUACACCACAUUAAAAAAGAGCUUAACACACUACAAUGGUGAAAACCGAGAGUUGUUGGUUAGAACAGUGCAAACUGAGCCUCCUCUUCAAGAUUUUCAACUUGUAGUUUCCACUACCAUUCCCCACCAAAAUGAUAGAAGUUGUGACAGGACCAGGAGUAGCGAGUCAAGAUGAUGACCAAGGCUAAGGAUGUGCUCAACUUAGAGAAUGAACGGAUUUAGUCGUGACCUACUUGGAGAUGGCUGAGAUUAGAAGGAUGCCUUAAUGAUUUUCUUUGUUAAGGCCUUUUUAGACAAAACUUGUUAUGUUAAUUUGUAACGUGGAGUUUGAUACUCCAUUACUGAGAAGUAUAAUUUAAAAGUUAUGGAUGAAGUUGGGAUAUUAGUUUUAUUCUGAUA